UACGAAGGGGGCUAGCGUUGCUCGGAAUCACUGGGCGUAAAGGGUGCGUAGGCGGGUUUUUAAGUCAGGGGUGAAAUCCUGGAGCUCAACUCCAGAACUGCCCUUGAUACUGAAGGUCUUGAGUUCGGGAGAGGUGAGUGGAACUGCGAGUGUAGAGGUGAAAUUCGUAGAUAUUCGCAAGAACACCAGUGGCGAAGGCGGCUCACUGGCCCGAUACUGACGCUGAGGCACGAAAGCGUGGGGAGCAAACAGG
rnacentral:rRNA from 1 species